ACAAACUUGGUCAUUUAGAGGAAGUAAAAGUCGUAACAAGGUUUCCGUAGGUGAACCUGCGGAAGGAUCAUUAAUGCAUAUAUUGCACUCAUCACACAUAUAUGGUGGUGAUGGUGGUGCAUUAUAUCCUGUGUUGUGUAUGCUGCUUGCAAUGUGUGUCUUUCUUAGAGGCACACAUAUGCUGUUGUUUCAUUCAUUCUGUUCUGUUCUUAUUGUGUUUUAUUGAGGUGCUUCAUGGCAUCUUGUUAACAAUCGAAAACUGCCACCAAUGGAUCACUUGGUUCUCGCAUCGAUGAAGAACGCAGC
rnacentral:misc_RNA from 1 species